rnacentral:lncRNA from 1 species
CUGCUUUUCAGCAUUAUCUUCUGGCUCUAGUUCCCUCGUGCUGGUUUGCAGCUGCUAAGAUACCCAGAAUUGUUUGAAUUAGCAGUUGACUUUAGACUGCUUUUUUACAGGGAAGAAAGUCUUGGUUGUUCCAUGUCUGCCUCUAAUAUUAUAAUGAAGAGCCUCGAAUAUGCAGCAUUGCUUUGAGUUACGUACUGUCCUCAGUGCUCCUACAUUUUGUCAAAUUCUCUGUCAUGGAGUCCUACAGUAGGGUUUUCUGUCUUCCUUCUAUGAGGAAUCCCUGCUCCAGGCAUUGGAUGUAUAAAAUUGCAAAAGCUUUCCAUAUGUGUGCUGACCCAGCCGGAUAGCAUCUGUUUUUCAGAGGGUAAGAGAGGAGAAUGAUUGAGACACAAAGGACAGUAACCCAGCUGAGCAGCCCAUCUGUUGCUGGGAGGAGCAUGGAAAGGAACGAAGGAAGCUGGAAAGCACGUAAUACUGCUGAAAAGAUGCAAAGAGAAGAUGCAAUUCUAUUAAGGUGUUCCAUCUAUGACUUUGCUGAGUUAUGCAAGUGCAAAGUCGAAACUAUUUCUCAGUAG